AAGUCGUAACAAGGUUUCCGUAGGUGAACCUGCGGAAGGAUCAUUAAUGAGGAGAGGGAGGCCCGCCCCUCCGCGGCGAGUGUCGGUCGAGUCCCUCCGGGCUUGGUCGGCAGUCGUCGUUGCUUCUUAACCCUAUGUUUACCAUACCUUUGUUGCUUUGGCGGGCCUUGAGUAGGCUAUACGGCUCAUGCCGGCCCCAGGCUUUAUUGCCUGGGGGCGGAUCGCGCCCGCCGGAGGUUUAAUCAAACUCUAUUAUCAGUGAUGUCUGAGCAAAUAUCAAAUAAUCAAAACUUUCAACAA
rnacentral:misc_RNA from 1 species